AAGGACUUAAGUUAAUUAAACUAUUAACCUUCAAAGUUAAAAUUAAAAUUGGUGUUUUAGGCCUUA
rnacentral:tRNA from 1 species